rnacentral:rRNA from 1 species
CAGUAGCCGCGGUAAUACGAAGGGGGCUAGCGUUGUUCGGAAUUACUGGGCGUAAAGCGCACGUAGGCGGCUUGGUAAGUUAGAGGUGAAAGCCUGGAGCUCAACUCCAGAAUUGCCUUUAAGACUGCCGAGCUAGCAGGUGAGAGAGGUAAGUGGAAUUCCGAGUGUAGAGGUGAAAUUCGUAGAUAUUCGGAAGAACACCAGUGGCGAAGGCGGCUUACUGGCUCAUACUGGACGCUGAGGUGCGAAAGCGUGGGGAGCAAACAGGAUUAGAUACCCCUGUCCCUGUCUCUUAUACACA